rnacentral:tRNA from 1 species
AAGACAUUAGUAAAAUGUAGAUUACACCACCUUGUCAAGGUGGUAUUGCAGGUUAAAUCCCUGCAUGUCUUA